ensembl:snRNA U1 U1 spliceosomal RNA
AGGCACACCACGAUAUUUGCGGUGUAGGCUCUUCUAUCGCACUCCGGAUGUACUGAGUCCUGCAAUUUCCCCAAACGUGGGAAACUCGGUGGCAUAAUCCAUGGUAGUGGGGGACUGCGUUCGAACUCCCCCU